rnacentral:rRNA from 1 species
UGGGGAAUUUUGGACAAUGGGGCGAAAGCCUGAUCCAGCAACGAUGCGUGGAGGAUGAAGGUUCUCGGAUUGUAAACUCCUUUUGAGAGGGAAGAAAAAAUGACGGUACCUCUCGAAUAAGCCACGGCUAACUACGUGCCAGCAGCCGCGGUAAUGCGUAGGUGGCAAGCGUUGUCCGGAUUUACUGGGUGUAAAGGGCGCGUAGGCGGGAUGGCAAGUCAGAUGUGAAAUCCAUGGGCUCAACCCGUGAACUGCAUUUGAAACUGUCGUUCUUGAGUGUCGGAGAGGCAAGCGGAAUUCCUAGUGUAGCGGUGAAAUGCGUAGAUAUUAGGAGGAACACCAGUGGCGAAGGCGGCUUGCUGGACGAUAACUGACGCUGAGGCGCGAAAGCGUGGGGAGC